rnacentral:lncRNA from 1 species
UAAUACUUAAAUUUAAAUUUUAAUAUUUAUAGAUUUAAAAUCAUUAACAAAUAACAAAAUGCAAAUAUAUAUAGAUUCAAAAAAAAUUAGUGAUAUAAACUUAGGUGGCUUUAAAAAUCAUUAAUCACAAGACAUAGAAACUACUUUUAAUACAUAUGAAGAUAGUUGUUUUGAUAUAAAAAACAUGCAUUAGAAAAUAAAAUAUUUUAUUUAACAAAAAUAAGUCUGAGCAAAUUCAAAUUAUAACGACUAAUUGUAAAUUAAAUUACGAACUUAUACUACUUUUGAAAAUAUACCAUAAUUUUAAACUUUUGCAACCAAAUCCAUAUAAUUGAGAUUUUUCAGUAUAAAAUUGAAAUAAAAUACUCAAUGAAUUAAGAUUUUAUAAAAUAAAUUAAAAAAAGAAAAAUCAACAAAAAACCUUUCAAAGGUCAUUAAAAGUAAAAUAUACGACACGCUAAUAUUGUCAGUUUUGUGCUUACACUAAACGACGCUAUUUACUCGUUCUCUACCGAAUUUUACUCAGUAGUGGUGUUCGAGUCAUCUUUCCGAUCGUCGAAUAAAUUGAAGAAAUCUCAAUGACAAAAUUUAGAAAAUUUCGAUAUAUAUUUAAAAGUAUGAUUAAAAUUACAAAAGAGUAUAAAUUUGUGAGUUAUUUUGUAGUUUUUUAUUUUCAAAACAAUUUAUUCUAAUCCCU